rnacentral:guide_RNA from 1 species
AUAUAUAUAACUAACGAAUUACUAUUUUGAUAUCUUGGACGUCGAAUUAAU